GCGCGCGCCCGUCCCGCCUGCCUUCUGCUCACCGCUACUCUGUCUGCGCCUGCGUGCUUUGGCUCCCUGGAUCUGUUAUAUUAAUGAGCAAUAUUUAAUUAAAAGCUAAUUGAAUAUUCCAAGCAGCAAUUAUCUUGCAAUAGAGAUGCCAAAUCUGACAUGAGGAGGCAGGUGAGCAGAAAGCAGAACUUGUGUAAUUAUUCCUCUGGGAGAUGGAGAAGAAGAGACCACACCAAGCAUUGCCACAGUAAGAGAUUAGUGAAGAUUCUGCCCUAAACAAAACCAUUUCCUUUGUUGAACUUAUAUUGUACUUUCUUCAUCAGCAUGACGGGACACUAUGAGUGAAAGAAGAAAAACUUUGCAAGGCUCUGACAUUAAGAAGGAGGGUGAUGAAAAUUUUGAGUGGCUUGCACAUGUUGUAUAGGAACCAUGGCUUCACAGCCCUGGGCAGAUGCUUGAAGCAAAGGCGCAGAACAAAGGAUGAACAAGACACAUAGGGUGAACAUUCAGCUGCUCGCUAGGACUGUAGCUGGAGUGUUUAGUAGAUGAGGGGAAUAGUUUG
rnacentral:lncRNA from 1 species